CAGGGCGAAAGGGCAGCAGGCGAUGGCGGGCCUGUACGUGCCAGUGGAUCUACAUAAGGUGUCCCAGGGCUGGCACUGCGGCCAGGUGACGUCGCUACCGCCGCCGAGCACCAUGGAGAGCUGCCGCGCGAGAAGUACUCGCCGCUGCCCUGCCCGGCGCCGGACACCACGGCCCCUGUAUCUCUGUUGUCGACGACUCAAAGACCGGCGUGGUGUUGGCCGGCUUCAGGUCGGCGCGGGAGAUCGCGUCGGCGGCCCGGGGAGUCGCGGCCUAGGCGGGCGAGCACAUGGGACCUGUAGCUCUGGUGCCGGCCCUGCUCCUCCCGGAGGAAGGCCCUAGAGUCGAGCCGCAGGGUAAGCCCACUCUGGUGAAGGAUUGGAUCGCUGGAGAAUGACCUACUCUGUUCUUCAAUUGCGUUCUGGUGAACGACAUGCUCAAUCUUAUUGCUUUCAACUUGAUCAACCUCUGCCUUUUAUUCGUGGAAGAAGCAGCCGGUGAGGACGACCUGCUCUCCUUUUCAAUCCGGUGCGUAAGUCUGAAGUUUCCCUUUCUCAUGCCAUGUUCCUAUGAAUAGCUCACUAGAACUGACAGAAUUUUGAUCGUAAGACUGCUUUCAACUUGAUCAAGCUUUCCCUUUUAUAAAAAGAAGAAUCAGCCGGGGUUGUAUUUUGUAUAUUGAGAUGGAAGAAGAGGCUAACACAUCGUACCAUCGUACCAUCCAACAUGAGCUACCAAGCUUUCCCUUUCACAUUUACUUUUCUCUCGUCCUGAAAUAUGGCACUUGCACAAGUUUUUUGUGUUCAUGAUUACUUUUCAAUUGCAGAGCUAUAUUGUCCAGUUUGGUACCUCAUAUUGGCAUGAAAUUAAAAAAUUCAGAUGAAGCUUGGGCAUUUUCGCUUAGCUGUGGUGGUCAAAAGGGCUUUGACGUCCGAAAAAGGUAUACGAACAAAAGGUCCGCAGAUGGCAAGGUAACCUCAUGUCGAUUUAUUUGUGCAAGGAAAUGGAAUGCUUAAUCUCUUUUCCCAAAGUAAUUUCAGUUAUCAAGUCUGAAAAUGUACAAGUAGCAAGGGCUACAUGGGCUAAUUCAGUUAACAAGUCUGAAAAACUAAAUUCGGUUAUCAGCUAAUCGGCCGGCAGCGGUGCGACUGUUGGGAAACCGGGGCGACCGAGUGUGGCGGCGGCCUCGUGCGUAUCGCACGGGCUAGCCCCUCCCGUUUCCCCCAGUUUACGUUAAGUGGGUACUUAUCCCUUGACCCCUACCCCCUAUAUAAAGCAACGAGGAGCUAUCAUUGUAAUCCUUGAUCAUUGAUUAAUAAAGCUGGUCUCCUCCA